rnacentral:rRNA from 1 species
GAUGAACGCUGGCGGCGUGCCUAACACAUGCAAGUCGAACGCUCGCAGGAGAGUGGCGCACGGGUGAGUGACACGUAGCUAAUCUGCCCUCAAGACAAGGAUAACUGUAGGAAACUACUGCUAAUACUUGAUAAGCUUACGGACUGUAGAGGUCUAUAAGAAAAGAUUUAUCGCUUGAGGAUGAGGCUGCGCGCCAUCAGCUAGUUGGUAAGGUAAUGGCUUACCAAGGCGACGACGGCUAGGGGACCUGAGAGGGUGACCCCCACCAC